rnacentral:tRNA from 1 species
ACAAAAUGUAGCUUAAUAUAAAGCACCUCGCUUACACCGAAAACAUGUCUGUUCAACCCAGAUCAUUUUGA